AUAAUGGUAAAUCUCGUCAUAUAAGAAGACGUCAUAAAACCAUUAGACACUUGAUCUCAACUGGUGUAAUAACGAUUGAUUACAUCAGAACAAAUGAAAACCUUGCGGAUCCAUUUACUAAAGGUUUGUCACGAGAUCAAGUAGAAAAAUCAUCAAGAGGAAUGGGUUUAAAGCCUGUGAACUAAGAUGAGGUUUGGCGGUAACUCUACCUAACUGACUGGAGAUCCCAAGAAAUAGGUUCAAGGAGACAACUAAGUCAAACUAAAUCUGCCCAAAGCACUGUCAGACUUCGGUCUAUACCCAGUUCCUAUGAUGAUUAAACAGUGCUACAUGUGAGGAAUAGAGGAUAAGCACCAAAGUCCGGUUUACACCAAAGUCCGGGGGGUUCAAGACAUCAUGGCCACCUCCUGUUCGAGUAAAUCCGAUAGCUAUUAACAAUGACUGGUUCAAGGCUGAAAAAUUGCUACCAACUCAUCAUGCAGUGGAUUUUUCGCUCAUACUCUCAAAAGUUUUUUUUUCUUUUCUUCUUGAAUCAUGUGUAUAGAGUCAUUUCUAUUCAUGUGGGGGAUUGUUGGAACUCGUUUUUGACAAAGUGGUGUGGACCAAUUUUCCGAUGGGUUUUUCGACGGAGACGUCUGUCGGAAGAACCGGAACUUGGGCACGAUGCAAUCGUCACCGUGAACACUAUGAGUUAGUGUAUUUGGUUGUCAAAAUCAGAGUUGUGUUGAAUGAGAAAUGGAGGUCCAAAGUGAGUGACUUGCAAAACUUAUAAAGUUUUAAAUUUGGUUAAAUAUAAAAUAUUUAGCAAAUUAGAUCACUUUGGAUAUAUGGGUUGGAAUUUGAAUUUAAAUUUGUUAAUUGGACAUUAUGUCAAUCAACUUAUUUAGUUAUUCUUAUUCAUGAUAAUUUGUAUAUUUAUAUAUAAAAUUAUAAACCCAAGCAAAGUAUAAUAAAGGUUGUUGAAUUGGUCAAAAUCAAGACAUUACUUUGCAAAGCUAACUUACAAGAAUCUUGGAAAUCAAUGCCAUUACUACAAUUGAUUCGUACGUUGGCUGACUCCUUAGAUUGCAUAACGUGCACUUCCUUUUGAUUAUAAAAGGAGAGCACUUGUGUAGAAAGCAACACACCCGAGACAAUUAUUUAUUAUUUUCUCUUCUUUCUCUUUGAUAUUUUCCUUGAGUCUGAGAGUAUACACAAAACUAGUUUCGCCAGGCUUCUGAUAGAGUGACGCAAAUCAGAAGAUUUUUGCAGUUGUAUCUUGAGACUCAUUACGUUAUCAAACCGUCGCACUACGGGACGUAUUUUGAGUUAAGGAAAGAGAUAAUAUCUCGCCUCUGCAGUUGUAUCAUCCUUUUCUUAAUCUUUGGUAUACUUUUAUCAAUUUUAUUCUUUACAAUAUUCAGUUUUCCGUAAUUUAUAUAAUACGGUCCCAUCAUCAUGUGGGUCAUCGUUCAAUCAAAUUAAAAAGAGUAGGGGCACGUUCCCCCGUAACCGGAAGCCUACGUCCGCACUCGGCCACUGAGUACAAACCUUUAUCCGAAAUGAAAAAGUAAUAUAACCAUUUACAAGCUUAAAUAAGGUUAUUAAGAGGUGGCGAUAUCAGAAAAAAAAACAGUCAUCCUUUUUGGGUCUGCUUGAUGAUGCUUUCACCACUGAAUGAGACGAGAUUUUGGCUUUGCUAACCAGUUCGAGCUGGCCCAAAAUUGCGAAGCUACACGAUCAAGUACAUGUUCCAGACGACUACUCUAUCAUCUAUGCAGAGAAAGGAACACUCAGAGGCACGAGGGUUCACUUUCAACACCGCAGAAACUGAUCAGCGACAUUGACAAAGCAAUGAAAAAUAGAUUCAGUUUAUUAAAGAAGUUGGGAGACGCUUGGUUUGAAGAAGGGCUUAGUUCCUAGUUAGCUUCAAGACCAAGUAAUUGAUGUGUUUUAUUCAUAGAAUGUAAUUAAUAAAACCCCUAAAGUUUGUCAGCAUUUUUGGGAUGCAAGUUUGAAUAAAUUUAACAUUUAUACAAAAAAAAAAAGAAAAAAACAUUCUAAAGAGAGAUAAACAAUCUAAAUAAGUUGUUGGAUUUCAGUUGUUGGAUUUCGGUUGUUUAUUUACUAGAUUCUGAAAAAGACAGAUGAUUAAAGAAUAAAUUAAGAAAAGAAAUGGAUAAGAACACGUAGGACAUGUCAGAGAUGGGUCUUAUCCAAAAAUAAAAUCCAAGUCAUCAUAACGUGGAAUUAAUCCAUAUAAAUACAUUCUUCAGACAUGAUUAACCCUGAUUUUUUAGAAGGAGUUUUUAAUUCAUGAUUUGAUAUUUUUCUGUUUGUUUUUACAUUUUUCUAUUAAGAGACGGUUCUUACCUUUUCUUUCUUUAAAAUCUAAGAAAAACUAAAAACCAUCUUUUAGCCAAACUUAAACUCCAACUAAAAGACCAAGGUUAAUCAUGAUCUAUACUUCAAACACUUUCUCCUUAUUAUAAACAUUCAAACAACAAAAGAUUCAAAUUUUGAUCAAAGAAAAAUCAAAAUGUUGGCAAUAUUUCAAAAAGCUUUUGCUCACCCACCGGAAGAGCUCAACAGCCCGGCGUCUCAUUUCUCCGGCUAAAUCAUUUGCUCAUUUCCCUACUGGGUGUAUGUUUCACAGUGAGACAUGGCUCAAGAGCUUUGAACAUCCGAAGAACAAGAUGAAGGCGAUGCCGAGGAUUGACAGCGAAGGUGUGAUAUGUGGAGCUAACUUUAAAGUGGAUGCUUGUUCUAAGAUAAGUGUCAUCCCUAGGAGAGGAAGUGAAGCUAACUGGGCUCUAGCUAAUACCCGUUGAUCUUUUCUUAUAAUUGGUUCAGUUCUUGAGUUGGCUCUUUUGUUCUGAUGCAUUUUAUGUUAACGCACUUCUUUUGUGUAAAUAGACAUCAAUAAAGAAGCAAAAACACUUUAUAUUGCAAA